GAUGAACGCUGGCGGCGUGCCUAAUACAUGCAAGUCGAGCGAACAGACGAGGAGCUUGCUACUCUGACGUUAGCGGCGGACGUGUGAGUAACAUGUGGAUAACCUACCUAUAAGACUGGGAUAACUUCGUGAAACCGGUGCUAAUACCGUAUAACAUGUUGAACCGCAUGGUUCAACAGUGAAAGACGGUCUUGCUGUCACUUAUAGAUGGAUCCGCGCCGCAUUAGCUAGUUGGUAAGGUAACGGCUUACGAAGGCAACGAUGCGUAGCCGACCCGAGAGGGUGAUGCGCCACACUGGAACUGAGACACGGUCCAGACUCCUACGGGAGGCAGCAGUAGGGAAUCUUCGGCACUGGGCGAAAGCCUGACGGAGCGACGCCGCGUGGGUGCAGAAGGUCUUCGGAUCGUAAAACUCUGUUAUUAGGGAAGAACAAUUGUGUCAGUAACUAUGCACGUCUUGACGGUACCUAAUCAGAAAGCCACGGCUAACUACGUG
rnacentral:rRNA from 1 species